UACGUAGGCAGCAAGCGUUGUUCGGAAUCAUUGGGCGUAAAGAGCGUGUAGGCGGCCCGGUAAGUCCGCUGUGAAAGUCCAGGGCUCAACCCUGGGAUGCCGGUGGAUACUGUCGGGCUCGAGUCCGGAAGAGGAGUGUGGAAUUCCUGGUGUAGCGGUGAAAUGCGCAGAUAUCAGGAGGAACACCAAUGGCGAAGGCAGCACUCUGGGACGUGACUGACGCUGAGACGCGAAAGCGUGGGGAGCAAACAGG
rnacentral:rRNA from 1 species